rnacentral:rRNA from 1 species
GACGAACGCUGGCGGCGUGCUUAACACAUGCAAGUCGAACGGAAAGGCCCUGCUUGCAGGGUCCUCGAGUGGCGAACGGGUGAGUAACACGUGGGUGAUCUGCCCUGCACUUCGGGAUAAGCUUGGGAAACUGGGUCUAAUACCGGAUAGGAGCCAUCUUUAGUGUGGUGGUUGGAAAGUUUUUUCGGUGUAGGAUGAGCUCGCGGCCUAUCAGCUUGUUGGUGGGGUAAUGGCCUACCAAGGCGGCGACGGGUAGCCGGCCUGGGAGGGUGUACGGCCACAUUGGGACUGAGAUACGGCACAGACUCCUACGGGAGGCAGCAGUGGGGAAUAUUGCACAAUGGGCGCCAGCCUGAUGCAGCGACGCCGCGUGGGGGAUGAAGGCCUUCGGGUUGUAAAAUCCUUUCGCUAGGGACGAAGCUUUUUGUGACGGUACCUAGAGAAGAAGCACCGGCUAACUACGUG